CGUAGCGCGCGCCAACCUCUUUCAUUCGCAUCGAACCCGUCGAACCACUUCACCAUGACUGCACUCUGUUCGCACCUUGGGAUGGUUUGCCGUUGCCGUGCAGUUUCUUCGGCGUCUUCGAGUCAAUCCAUUUUCAUCGUUUCAAGUAUGAAGCGGGUACCUGUGGCUGUUCAGCGUGCCGGUAUCAAGACGCCACGUGUGCACCGGACAGAGGCAGCCAUUGAAUACACUGUCCCUGCCGGCGUAAGCUGAACGCUCCGAUGUGGAGGGGCAACAACCUGCACUCCUGCAUGCAAGUGA
rnacentral:lncRNA from 1 species